GUUUGCAGUCUCCCUAGAGGAAGUGGAGGGGCCUGAAUUGGCCACCCCGGGCAUGGCGCAACACCUCCGACUCUGGGGAGGAGUUGAGUCCAGGCCCCUGAUGCUGCGGCGGUCUUCACUUGCUCUCACCCACGAGCCACUGCAGCGGCAGCGGCCCUCUUCUCCGUCGUCACUAGGACGGGGCCCAAGGUCCUCUCUUGCUCUCUCCCAGAAGCUGCAGCGGAAACCUUCGUCUUCACUUUCUCUCUCCCAAAAGCCACUGAAGCGGUAGCUGGCGUCUUCACUGCCGCUCACACCAGAGGAGUCGCUGGCUGCGUAGCCGCGGUCUCCACUUACUUCCUCCCAAGAACUACCAACGCUGUGGCCGCCUUCGACACUCCCUCCCUCCCAGGAGCCACUGAAGCGGCGACUGCGAUCGUCACUGACUCUAUCCCCGAAGUCACUAGUUCGCGGGUCCCGAAUGUCACUGACUCCCUCCCAAGGACCACUGAGGCGGAGGCCUCGGUCUUCUCUGGCUGUUCCCCUGGAGUCGGUAGUUUGGUGGCCUCCAACUUCACUAAAAUUCACGUCGCUGCUGCAGAAGGUGCUGUCUCCCCUAACUCUCUCCCAAGAGCAGCUGUGACUGUGGCCACUAUCUCCCCUAACUCUCUCCCUAGAGACGCUGCGGCAGUGGCCGAGGUUUUCACUGACCCUUCUCAAGUCACUGCGGGAGAAGCCGGCGUCUGCACUUAGGCUUCCUGCAGCGACCCUGGAGCGGCGGUCGCUCUCUUCACAUUUUCUUUCCCCGUCGUCGCUAACUCUUUCCCUAGACUCGGCGCCGGAAUGGCCGUGUAGACCGUUUAUCCUCCACACGUGGUGGCUAGUGCGGCGGCCACCGUCUUCGUCUGCUACUCCCUGCGAAUCGCCGUAGCGGCGGCCGCCUUCCGCUGGUACUUUCUCGGAGUCUCUUUCCAGCCUCCCGACUCCAGCCACUUGGCUGGAGAGGCAGCAGGGCCGUCGCCUUGGAAACGAGUACACUUCCGACGUGCUGAGGUCAUUUCCCGUUCCUCACGGCCCACGCUACUUCCGGUUUCCUUUCCCUCAGCUAUUCCAUGGCUUUUCGUGUGGACAAAUCGGGAGGUGGUGUAAACUGGUUUUUGGUGAAAUUCGGCUCGGCCUCAUGCGAACCUAUCUAGGUCCGUCUCUGGAGUGGCCUGUCAUCGAUCGCGCCCUCCAUCGCUGAGCGACACAAGUGGAACCCCCCAGGACUGCAUUCUGCGAAACUACCCUGCUUUUCCCCCAGUUUUGGUCUGUGAACACAUUUGGGAAAUUCUUCUGAUCCUACCGCUACUCUCUUGAGAUGAAGAAACAGCUCAGAUUUGACCAAGAUCACACAAGUAGGAGUUGAGGAAUUGGAACCCACUAUGACUGACUCCAAAUUAAUAUAGUGUUUAUAGCCACUUACAUAAUAAUGAGGGUGUUGCUAUGCUUUCCUCUGUACAAGCUGGUGGUGUAUCAAUUCGUUCUUCCUUAACUUUGGGACUGUCACAGGGUUCCUGCAAUUCGUUUUUGACAAUGUUCAACAUAAUAUUCAAGGGGUUUUCAACUGGUGUCUUGCUGGGAGAUGGUGUACAAUCAAAUGAAGAUGUCUACAAAAUGAAAGGCCCUAUGAGUACUGAUGAAAGUUCAAAAUUCUCACAUUAAAUAACAUUUAGUCUUGUAAGACCCUUGUAUGAACAAGAGAACACACAUACAACCAAAUGCAAAUGAAACACCUGCCUCCCAACAAAAUGUGCCAUAAAGACAACCAGAAAUAAAAUAUAUAUUGCACGUUCAA
rnacentral:lncRNA from 1 species